GCUAAAUUAGGUCCUGCUUUUCCAAGGGCUUUUCCCUUUUCCUCCGUCGUCGGGCGGCGUCGGCUCCUCGCGGGUCGCGUCGCACGCGCGGGGGUAGGUGAGCUCGAGCAGGAAUCUCUUCUUAGAGGGACUGGCUGUUGUUAGCAGCACGAGAUAGAGCAAUAACAGGUCUGUGAUGCCCUUAGAUGUUCUGGGCCGCACACGCGCUACACUGAAUAGAUCAGCUAGUUUCUCCCUCGCCGAGAGGCGCGGGAAAACUGUUGAACCCUAUUCGUGGUAGGGAUUGGAGCUUGCAAUUGUUCUCCAUGAACCAGGAAUUCCCAGUAGGCGCAAGUCAUAAGCUUGCGUCGAUUACGUCCCUGCCCUUUGUACACACCGCCCGUCGCUACUACCGAUUGAGUGUUUUANUGAGGUCCUCGGAUUGCCGGGUUAUUGUGGCUUCACCGCUGCUUCCCCGGCGAGAAGACGACCAAACUGUAGCACUUAGAGGAAGUAAAAGUCGUAACAAGGU
rnacentral:rRNA from 1 species